CCAUAGAUCUUUUCAAUGACUGGAUGGAACACAGAAGGAGAACCUUUGUCAAAGAUCAAUUAUUUCUUAAUCCAAAAUUUCAAGUAGUAAGUUCUGUUUGACAUUUGCACUGGUAAUGGUAUGGCUCCUGAGAUCAUGACUACUUGUAUAAGAAUCAG
rnacentral:lncRNA from 1 species